rnacentral:rRNA from 1 species
UACGUAGGGUGCAAGCGUUAAUCGGAAUUACUGGGCGUAAAGCGUGCGCAGGCGGUUCGCUAAGACCGAUGUGAAAUCCCCGGCUUAACCUGGGAACUGCAUUGGUGACUGGCGGGCUAGAGUAUGGCAGAGGGGGGGUAGAAUUCCACGUGUAGCAGUGAAAUGCGUAGAGAUGUGGAGGAAUACCGAUGGCGAAGGCAGCCCCCCUGGGCCAAUACUGACGCUCAUGCACGAAAGCGUGGGGAGCAAACAGG